rnacentral:rRNA from 1 species
CCUACGGGUGGCAGCAGUGAGGAAUAUUGGUCAAUGGGCGAGAGCCUGAACCAGCCAAGUCGCGUGAGGGAAGACGGUCCUGUGGAUUGUAAACCUCUUUUGUCGGGGAGCAAAAGGCGGUACGCGUACCGCAUCGAGAGUACCCGAAGAAAAAGCAUCGGCUAACUCCGUGCCAGCAGCCGCGGUAAUACGGAGGAUGCGAGCGUUAUCCGGUUUUAUUGGGUUUAAAGGGUGCGCAGGCGGCGAGUUAAGUCAGCGGUAAAAUUUAGGGGCUCAACCCCUUCGAGCCGUUGAAACUGGGUUGCUUGAGUGGGCGAGAAGUAUGCGGAAUGCGUGGUGUAGCGGUGAAAUGCAUAGAUAUCACGCAGAACUCCGAUUGCGAAGGCAGCAUACCGGCGCUCAACUGACGCUCAGGCACGAAAGUGUGGGUAUCGAACAGGAUUAGAUACCCUUGUAGUC